rnacentral:rRNA from 1 species
AUUGCCUACGGGACGCAGCAGUGGGGGAUAUUGCACAAUGGGGGGAACCCUGAUGCAGCGACGCCGCGUGAGCGGUGAAGUAUUUCGGUAUGUAAAGCUCUAUCAGCAGGGAAGAAAAUGACGGUACCUGACUAAGAAGCCCCGGCUAACUACGUGCCAGCAGCCGCGGUAAUACGUAGGGGGCAAGCGUUAUCCGGAUUUACUGGGUGUAAAGGGAGCGUAGACGGCAAUGCAAGCCAGAUGUGAGAGCCCGGGGCUCAACCCCGGGACUGCCUUUGGAACCGUGUAGCUGGAG